CCCUUAGAUGUUCUGGGCUGCACGCGCGCUACACUGACACACUCAGCGAGUUCCUGUACCGAGAGGUUCGGGUAAUCAUGUGAGCGUGUGUCGUGAUGGGGAUAGAAUAUUGUAAUUAUUGCUUUUCAACGAGGAAUUCCUAGUAAGCGCAAGUCAGCAGCUUGCGCUGAUUACGUCCCUGCCCUUUGUACACACCGCCCGUCGCUCCUACCGAUUGGGUGAUCCGGUGAAUGACUCGGACUUUGACGUUCCUAGACACUAGGUUCGUCGAGGGAAGUUUUGUGAACCUUAUCACUUGGAGGAAGGAGAAGUCGUAACA
rnacentral:rRNA from 1 species